CAACCCUCAAGCUUAGCUUGGUGUUGGGAGACUGUUACCUAGUAACAUCCCCCGAAAUGCAUUGGCGUCUACGUCGGCGACCCUUUACGUAGUAAACUUAUUCUCGUAUUGGCGACCGGCGCAGCCUGCCGUUAAACCCCCAACUUUUCUA
rnacentral:misc_RNA from 1 species